AAAUGGGGCGCGCUAUUUUAUUCUGAAGUACGUGUCGAUUCCGUAUUUUAAGGGACGGGUGGCAAUCCUAGUUUAGAGACGCACAGAGUGCUAUUGUGCUGGGCCUUACAGGGAAUGUGACACUUUUGUGAACCUGCACCAGGGCUUGACAAGUAUACGCAAGUAUGAAGGAAACUGUUCUGGCAGUGCCCUCCACCCUCCUAUCAGUCACUUCUGAUUCUUUUCAAAAAUUCAUAAGUGAUCUUGAGCAAUUCUUUUGUUAUUUAUGUGAGAUAAAUUACAUGUUCAUUUAGGUACUGUUUUGAAAGAACAUGUGUUCAAACUAAUUGGUCAAAUUGUGCUGAUCUUUGAUUCAAGUAGAAUACAAUAUAUUUUUGCUGUCAGUUUUAUCAGUUUCUAUAGCAUAAUUUUUUUUUUUUUUAAGGUUUAAGAUAUAUAUUUUACUAUAUUAGUAUACAUACGUAGAUGUGGACAUAGAGAUCUGCUAAAAACUUGUGGUUUAUUUGACAUGCUUGUAAUAAACUUUUCUAAAAGGAU